UGGGGAAUAUUGCACAAUGGGGGAAACCCUGAUGCAGCGACGCCGCGUGAGCGAAGAAGGCUUUCGAGUCGUAAAGCUCUGUCCUAUGAGAAGAUAAUGACGGUAUCAUAGGAGGAAGCCCUGGCUAAAUACGUGCCAGCAGCCGCGGUAAUACGUAUGGGGCGAGCGUUGUCCGGAAUUAUUGGGCGUAAAGGGUACGUAGGUGGUUUUUUAAGUCAGGUGUCAAAGCGUGGAGCUUAACUCCAUUAAGCACUUGAAACUGAAAGACUUGAGUGAAGGAGAGGGAAGUGGAAUUCCUAGUGUAGCGGUGAAAUGCGUAGAUAUUAGGAGGAAUACCGGUGGCGAAGGCGACUUUCUGGACUUUUACUGACGCUCAGGUACGAAAGCGUGGGGAGCAAACAGG
rnacentral:rRNA from 1 species